UACGUAGGGUCCGAGCGUUGUCCGGAAUUACUGGGCGUAAAGCGCGCGCAGGCGGCCCGCGAGGUGUCACGUGAAAGCCCCGGGCUCAACCCGGGAGGGUCGUGGCAAACCGGCGGGCUUGAGGCCGGUAGAGGUGGGUGGAAUUCCUGGUGUAGCGGUGAAAUGCGCAGAUAUCAGGAGGAACACCGGUGGCGAAGGCGGGUCUCUGGGCCGAUAUUGACGCUGAGGAGCGAAAGCGUGGGGAGCAAACAGG
rnacentral:rRNA from 1 species